rnacentral:rRNA from 1 species
GAGAAAGUGGAGCAAUCCAUGAGUAAAGUGGCGCACGGGUGAGUAACACGUGGGUAAUCUGCCUCUGGGUGGGGAAUAACUCUGGGAAACCGGAGCUAAUACCGCAUAAGCCUGAAAGGGGAAAGGCGAAAGUCGCCGAGAGAGGAGCCCGCGGUCGAUUAGCUAGUUGGUGGGGUAAAGGCCUACCAAGGCAGUGAUCGAUAGCCGGCCUGAGAGGGCACACGGCCACACUGGCACUGAAACACGGGCCAGACUCCUACGGGAGGCAGCAGUGGGGAAUCUUGCACAAUGGGGGAAACCCUGAUGCAGCGACGCCGCGUGAGCGAUGAGGCCCUUCGGGGUGUAAAGCUCUUUCGACCCGGAAGAUAAUGACGGUACGGGGAGAAGAAGCUGCGGCUAACUACGUGCCAGCAGCCGCGGUAAUACGUAGGCAGCGAGCGUUGUUCGGAGUUACUGGGCGUAAAGAGUGCGUAGGCGGCGGCCCAAGUCUGGUGUGAAAUCUCCCGGCUCAACCGGGAGGGUGCGCCGGAAACUGGGUUGCUGGAGUACUGGAGAGGCAGGCGGAAUUCCUGGUGUAGCGGUGAAAUGCGUAGAUAUCAGGAGGAACACCCGCGGUGUAGACGGCCUGCUGGACAGUCACUGACGCUGAGGCACGAAAGCGUGGGGAGCAAACAGGAUUAGAUACCCUGGUAGUCCACGCCCUAAACGAUGCAUACUUGGUGUGGGCAGUUCAGUCUGUCCGUGCCGAAGCUAACGCGAUAAGUAUGCCGCCUGGGGAGUACGGUCGCAAG